rnacentral:tRNA from 1 species
GCCGAAGUGGCGGAACGGCAGACGCGCUGCGUUCAGGGCGCAGUGCCCGAAACGGGCGUGGGGGUUCAAAUCCCCCCUUCGGCACCA